rnacentral:lncRNA from 7 species
UACGACGACGCAGACAUCGAUGACCUGCUCACGUGGAUCAACAACGGUGAGUCUCUCUCGGAGGGGCAGCAGAGCUGCUGGGGGGGUGUCUGCACGGAGUGGGCGUGGGAAAGCCGGCAUUGCCAUUGCCCCGCUGGGCAUUUUCUGCCUUUUCCAGAAGAGACACCCAGCACCCACAGACUUGACAACGAUGAUGUGGAAAUGGACCGUUUGCUCACCUGGAUUGACGAAGCGGCUCUGGAGGUCCCCCAGCACAAGCAGGACCUGCCCGGUGUCACAAGAGAGGGGACCAAAGCCACUGCAAACAGCUGCCAAACGCAAGAGCUGAUGCAGCGCAUCACUGCCACGGAGCCACUGAGCCCUGAUGUCUCCAGCAGCCUCGACUCCUCUUCUUCCGGCACAGAGCACUCGGACUCCUCCGGGGCCAGCAGGGAGCUGAGCAACGAGACACAUCCUGAAUCAGGGCUCCUCAGCAACUCGCUCUGCUGGCAGCCAGCAUCCCCUGAGCUGCCCGUGCCGACGCCCCUGGCUGCCCCUGCGCCUCCGUCGCCCCGCACUGCACAUCUGAUGGAAGAGGCGCGGCGGAGGCGCCCGGGUGGUUCUCACCGCCUGGCACUGCGACCCCGGCGCCCCUGCUGCCCGCACUGCACUCUGAUGAGGCGCGGAGCAGCCCGGGUGGUUCUCACCCGCCUGGCACUGCCGACCCCCCUGGCUGCCCCCGCACCUCUGCUGCCCCACACUGCACGUCUGAUGGAAGAGGCGCGGCGGAGGCAGCCCCGGGUGGUUCUCACCCGCCUGGCACUGCCACCCGGAUGCAUCUCCUGCCGGCUGGCAGACAUGCACCACGAGGACAGCACCGAGCCAGCCAAGUGCCCAGCGCCCGCCUGCACCACCACUAACAGCAAGAGCACCGGGCACGAGCAGCACACUGGCAGCGGCCCAGCCACAAAGAGGAAGCUGCCGCGCUGCCACGAUGGCCCAGGCCACAAACACCGGCGCUAGGCCAAGCUGGCUGUGUCAGCACGGUGGGCGGGCAGCAGGAGGACUGUGCCCUGAUGGGGUGCCCAUCACAGCCCAACAGCGGCUCGAGCGGGAGCGCACCAAGAAACCGGCCCACUUGCUGGAGCAGGAGACGUGGCCAUAGCCGACCAAGACGGCUCCCUGGAGCCCUGGGCUCCUCGCUGGCCCCCACCAUGCCCAGAGAGCAGCGGCAGUGUUCUGGGGGCACCAGCACCGGCCCCAGCCCUACCCUCCAAAACUGGGCUGUCCACAAACGGCAUCUUGGGCUGGGGCAAUGCGGGACUCUGAAGCUGAUGGACCGCCAAAGGCUUGGACUGUCAAAGCUUUGGGCUGGGAAAAGAAGGCUGGGGGGUGGGAAGAGGGUGGGGAGGGGAUGGUUGCGGGGUGGGGAAUGGGUGGGGGGGGAAUUUGGGGUGGGAACUCUUUGGGUGAGAACUUGGGGUGGGAAUUCUUGGGGUGCUGGGAUCUUUUUGGGGUUGGAAAUGAAAUGGCUGUACUGUGAUAUUGUUGGGGUGGGAAUCCGGGGUGGGGGAGGGAAUUUGGGGUGGGAACUCUUGGGGUGGGAAUUCAUGGGGUGUUGGGAUCUUCCUGAGGUUGGAAAUGGCUGUACUGAGAUAUUGUUGGGGUGGGAAUCCGGGGUGGGGGGUGGGAAUUUGGUGUUGGAAUUCUUAAGGCACUGGGAUCUUUCUGAGGUUAGAAAUGAAAUGGCUGUACUGUGAUAUUGUUGGGGUGGGAAUUUGGGGGUUGGGAAACUGCUGGGGUGAGAAAUGGCUGCCGUGGGAGAUGGUUGGCAUCAAAAAUUAUUGGACACCGUAACUGCUGGCACUGAAGAUGGGGGGAGGGGGAGGGAAUUCUGUGGGGUGGCAAUUCUGGGGGAGAAAUUGUACUCUGAUCACGUUACACUCCCAAGUUGUUGGAAUUUGGAGGAAGGAACUGUUGGGGUGGGAAUUUGGGGGGCUGGGAGGUUUUCUGCAGAGGGAGGGAACUAUUGGUGGGAGGGAGCGGGGGGGAAGCGGGGAGGAGGGUGGGUGGUGAGCAAUUGAUUGCGGGGUGGGAGCUGGGGGGUGGGAAAUUGAUUAGAGGGUGGGAAUUUUAGGGGGUGGGAUCAGAAACAAUUGUUAGGGUGGGAAAUGGUUGGGAAUAUAAUCAUUUAUUUGCUGUUUUGUACGUUAAAUUAUUAAACGUAUGGCGUUCGCUUUCCUACACCUCUGCCUGCAGUCGUUUGUGCAGCACCAAAGCCCCCCCCCGUGCCCACCUCCGGGGAUGCUGGGGUGGCUGCAGCGAGCCAACAGCUCCUCCACUCGAACAUCUCCAUCUCCAUCGCUGCUGUCAACGCCUCUGUUGCCUUGUGCUGUUCCUGGGGAAGGAGAUGGUCACGCAGUGAGCAGUGGGUGUGUUGAGCUGGGGGCACUGGGCAGUACUGGAGGCACUGGGAAGCCCACUGCAGGGCACUGGGGGGCACUGAGUUUGCACAAGAAGACUCUAGACAAUACUGGGAGGCAAUGGGAGCUUAAGUGGGGAGCUAAGCAAUCCAUUUCUCCCGUGGCGGAGACUUUCUCCUUGGGGCUGACCCCCCCCACCCCCAGCAUUGCUUGACUCUGCCCUGGGCGCUGUGGUCCACGCAUUCCCACCCUGAUGCUGUCUCUCAGUGACACAUUUGUCACCCACAGACUCACCGUGGGUCCUGAGCUGGGCUGGGGGGUGUCCUGUGAAAGCAACCCCAGUGACAGCCCUGAGCCCUAUACGGCACACAGCCCGGAAAACCACCUUUCAUGCUGCCAAGAUCAGCUUCAGCUCAUCACCCUGGGACUCCAGCGGGGGGCUCUGUGGAAGCUUCCCCUGUUUCCAGCUGCUGCUACCCCGUCCUUGUUGACCAUGCUUCAUGCUCUGGCAUACACCUGGAAAGGUGAACUCUGCCAUGGCCUAGGAAGAGCUCUGCUCUUUCUUUCUUAGCAAUGCCUCUGAACAUCUUGAAAGCCAGGAGGAAGAGGCCAUGACUGAAAGUCAGAGAGAUUCUGGCAGCACAAGGGACCGUUUCACAAGAACAAGCUCCACACAGUCUACGGCAACACCAUUUCUUAGCUGCUCUCCUCCCUGCCCCAGUGGCGGUCACACUUCAUCAUCUCCACUUGACAGGCUGGAGCAGCACCAAGUUGUACUGCUGGGUUUCUGAAGGCCCUUUUAACCUCCAGAGGGAAGAAAACAGCCCGAACAAAAAGGGGGCAGCGGGGCUCUCCCUAGGACACCACUGGUCUCAGCAGAGUGCACAGGGACUUCAAACGCACAAAGCACCCACAAAAGCAUCCCAACAGCUCCAACAAGGAAGCAAAACAAACCCAGGACGCUCUGCAGGGCUCCCAGCUCUUAGGAGCUCACACCUGCUCCGGGGACACAGCAUGCACAGAAACCGCACCUCCCCUCUUCCCCAUUUCUCCCCCUGCCAUUUCUACAGCCAUUUACACACACUGGGGAAAGGCAGCGUAAGGCUC